UCCACACAGGAAUGCCCCAAUUGCAGCUCUGAUCCCACCAUGGGCUGCAGUCUUUUCUGCUGUGCGGUUGUUUGUCUCCUCAGAGUGGAUUUCACAGAUGAGAAAAUUACCCAAACCCCCAAGUAUCUGGUUACAGUGGCCAGGCAGCCUGUGGUACUGAGAUGUGAGCAGGAUCAGGAAGAAGACAAUAUGUAUUGGUACCAACAGGAAAUGGGGCAAGAACCAAAGUUAAUCUUCUACUCUUACAACAAGCCUCCCAAAUAUUGAGCUAGCUCUGGCA